rnacentral:rRNA from 1 species
GGAGUUUGGACCGUGUCUCAGUUCCAAUGUGGGGGACCUUCCUCUCAGAACCCCUACUGAUCGAUGGCUUGGUGGGCCGUUACCCCGCCAACAACCUAAUCAGACGCAUCCCCAUCCCUUAGCGACAAGUCUUUGCUUCAUUUCUGAUGCCAUCUACGAAGAACAUAGGGUAUUAAUCCGACUUUCGCCG